UUCAGCUGUGUGACUGGAAGGGGUGGAGCCUGGCUGCACCUCUCUUAGACCUCAUUUAAGGGCUGAUUGCCAUUGGGAAGGGUCUCUCUCUGGAGGUUCUUCCUUGGAAGAGUUCUCCCCUGUGAGCUGUGAUCUUCAGAGAUGGACUACAUGGAACAUCUUCAAAGAGCCCAGCAUCCACUGGAAGAGCACGGUGCUGAUUUACCACACGUGAAAUCGAUGCUGCCUGCUCCCAGCGCCGUCUCAAGUCCCAGCACAUUUCUAAUUGCCUGUUUUCUGUUGGUGAGCUCUCUUCUUGCCCUCUGUGCUGUGACCUACUUCAAUAGGUGAAUUCUGAGGGUGCAGAUGAUGUCUCUGAGAUAACUGAACUCCUGCCAUCUAUUGGAAGCUGCAGGAGGAGGGGAGAGGUUCCAGCCACUGCUGCAAGAUCCAGCCAUGGGGCUGGGGAACCGACCUGCCUAACACUCCGUGCAACAGCUUUCCUGCUGCAGGCACUGAGUGAUGUGUGUUCUCCCACCCCGCUUCUCCCCGUGUCACCACAUCUGGCCUGGCAUCAUCCUGCUCCAGACAUAACACUCCCAGGUGAAGAUCUCACCUGAAUAAGGAACCAACAUUGCUCUCCCUUCCAGGGCACUCAGCUCACCCCCAUUCCCACAGCACUUCCCAUGGAUACAAAGAGAUGCUUUCUUGCUCCAGCAAAGGCUCUGCUGGAUUGGCAGGAGCUCUGUGACUGGGGAAUUACCUCCGUGUGCCUCAGCCUUGACUUGGUUUUCAUAUCUUGCUCCAGGCAGUACAGAAGUACCUGUGAAAUGCAACGGAUGCAAUCCCCAAACGGUCACUUGAAGCUUUUCUCCCCAGGGAGGUGAGAAAGGCUUGGGCUAAGGUGGGCUGUCUGAGGGCAAGCAGGAGGGCAUUGUAUGGCAACCCAUGGGAGCAGAGGCCAAGGCACAGUGACUGCCCCACCUCCCUGUGCAGCUGAGCCAGUGCCUCACUUUUUCUGAGAAGAAAUUAUUCCUAAUAUCCAACCUGAUCCCAUCCUGGCACAACUCAAGGCCAUCACCUCUUGUGUCUACGGGACCCUGCUGGGGCCAGGCAGGUCAGCCUGCUGCCUCCAGAGCUUCAGAUUUGGAGAUCCCACCCCAAAGAUCCUUCUUGCUCUAUCCCAGAUGGAUGCAGAUAUCACAGUAAACAACGACUUGGAGGCAAGUCCACUGCCAUAAAUCAGCAUUUUUCUGAGUGCCAAGGAGGACGACAAGCCUCGGUGUAAGAGCUCUGCACCAUGAAUGGAAAUUACUCAGUGCUGACGCCUGAAAGGACACCAGCAGCCCCUGUGCUCUGUGCUGAAUUUUACUUCGAUUUCCACUUCAUCUACCAGGCUGUCUGCCUGAUGGGAGAGCAGUCUAUUACAAAGGGGAGAAUCCUGUUUAGGUCAAAAGGAUGCAUUUUUAGGAAUGCAGGUUUCAAGUCCAAGCCUGCUGGUGAUCUCUCCUUGCAGUCUCUGUUAUGUACUGAAAGAUUCAUUAAGAAGACACGGAAAGGGAGAACCAUGAUGGGAGAUGCGAUGAAAAGCCUAUUCGUUAUCCUAGCAACAUGAGACACAGUUCACUAGAUUGGUUUCCGUUCUAAAGAGCAAAACCAAAUCCUUCACUCCUUGCCUUUAAUGGCGGUGUUGAUGGAGACAGCCAACAAUUUCCUCUCCUCAUCGAUUUUGAUUAUGAAUUCUCAUCUGGAUACGGAGUCCAAUUUUUGUAAGAAACAUUUUACCCAUGGGACAGCGGAUGUCAGACUGAACUGAGCUCUUCCUCACCGCUGUCCUGUGGGUGCUCUUUGCUCCAGUUAGCUGCCUACAGCAGACUUCAAAUUAAUUGCAACGCCGUGGAUCAACCUUUCCCAUUUUUUUUUCUUUUCUCCCACAUGCUGCCACGUGUCCAUGGACAGCCCGUGUUUUCUGGUAAGCUUUCUGGCAGCCUUUGAGCCUCACGCUGAACACAUGAGAGCAUUUAGCAAGCUACAUUUCACUACAAAACGUGUUCCUGGGUAGCGCUUGCACAUAAGCAUGUCAUUGAUGUUCCCCAAGCGCCAGCCUUGGCAGAUGUGUAACAGGAGAGUGGCUGCUAAUGCUCCAGCUUCCCUCCAGGAUGCUGCCUGGGCUCAGGGGGGAGCAAUGCUGCACAUGUGUCAGUCUUGCAAGUGUGUGCUGCUGAACGCUGGGUGGUCUGUCCUGAAAUGGGAAGAGCUGGGAGACAGUUCUGACUGGGAUCAUCUCCUCCCACACUUGCUUGUGUCCAGCAGCCAUCACCUGGAGCACUGUGUCCAGAUGUGGAGUCCUCAAUACGGGAGACACAUGGACCUGUUGGAGUGUAUCCAGAGGAGGGCCAAAAAAAGGAUCCAAGGGAUGGAACGCCUCCCUGUGAGGUCAGGCUGAAGAUCUCGGGCUGUUUAGCCUGUUCAGCAGAAGAUAAGACUGUGUGGAGACUUGAGGGCAGCCUGUCAGUGUCAAAAGGGGGCUGAAAGAAUGCACAGGCUCUUUUUUUGGGUCUGUUAUGAUGUGACAAGGGGAAAUAGUUUCAGAUUAAAAGAGAGGAGAGUUAGAUUGGAUAUAAGGAAGAAAUUUUUCGUGAUAACUGUGGUGAGGCAUUGGCACAGGUUGUCCAGAUUAGUGGUGGAUGCUCUAUCUUUGGACACACUCGAGGUCAGGCUGGACAGGGCUCUGAGCACCUGAUGGAGCUGUGGGUGUCUCUGUUCAUUGCAGGAGAGUUGGACCAGAUGGCCUUCAAGGGUCCUGCCCAACUCAAAUGAUGACUCUAUGAUUCUAAGUACAAAGACAGCUUCGUAGGGUGGUAGGAUGGGUACCCUUGGAGGAGCUUCUUGCAUAUCACAUCUAUGGGAGGAGGAGAAAUCAGUUGUGUUUUCCUUUACUGUUACCUAGCUUCCUUUCAUCACCCCAGCCCAUGCUGUUUGGCAUUCCAGCCCUUAUCCCACCUUGUGCCAUCUGCUCUUCUGGACCCUUUUCAGCCUGCACACCACAGAUUCUCCCUCCUGCCUUUCCUCCCUGGUUCUACAUUGCUUUUCUCUCUGGUUACCUCACAUCCCCAAGGAUCUACCUUCCAGUCACAAACAGAUCUCUACAGGAAGGGUGUAAGCUGGCAUUUUCAGCAGUUAAUGGUUUGGACUAACAGGGGGGGAAUUUCCAAGACUCCACCCUCAACCUCAGCUGCUCUGCCAGACUGUGCGGGGUUUUUCCCUGGGGACACGGAAGCUCCUCAAGGUUGUAAAAUUGUUUAAAUAUGAUGAGGAGAAAGCAAGUUUUUUGCUUACUUCACUUUUCAAGGAAAGCUGAAGCCUACCAGGCGCUCGGCCAAGGGAGCCACAGCCCGAAGAAUUAAAAUCCAGCAAAAUCAUAAGCAGGUUUUUGUACGGCAGAUUGUCAGGAAACUGGAAAUAGCAAUGUUGGUUCCUGUCCCACGUAAUAACAAACAGUAAUAAUUGUAUCCCCUAUGCGUGUUCACAUUUGCUCUUUCUCUCUCAGAAACCAGCAUUUAAAAAGAUAGAUUAUGAAGAUACGUUCAGAAAGUAAGAAUUCUGAAUGUAUUAUUAUUAUAUAUUAUUCAUGUAAUGGCAACACCCUAAGUUGUCUCAGCACUGUGCAGAAAGAGAGGAAGAUAAAGCCUGCGGCCCAGAGAAACUUCUAAAUGAAUGGAAAUAAGGUUUGGAUCUGUGUGACAGUUUGUGUGUGUGCGUAUAAUUUUUAAGCAUUACUGAAGAAACUGUAGGGGGAAAAUUGAAUUAUACAUCAGCUUAUUCACCAACAGGAAAAAAAAAAAUGGGCAAGCCUGCAUGCUCUUGAUAACAUUUUAAUAAUUUACAAACUCAAAUUUCACCCUGGGAGUGACUUUCAUGAGAAGUAAGAAAUCCUGUGACUGUAAACACGGCUGGAAGUCGGCGGAAAAUCAGGGCAGAAAAUCCCCGCUGCAUGGGGAAGGGGGAUGGCUUGUGCUGGCUGUAGGGAUGGGUGCCCUGUAGGAAGGGAUGUUGGGAUGGAGCAAAAUACCAGGGCCUUCAGCCCUGUGUUGACAUUCCUGCUGCCACCUUGUGCCUGUCAGUUCUGUUCUUCUGAGGCAUGCUGGUGCUCCAUGUGCAAGGUGCAGAAGUUCACUGCAAAUGCAAGGAGGAAGGUUGGUGCAUCUCCAGCACUGCUCCCACCACCCUUGGCAAUGCUUCCACUCAAUCACAGCUACUCUCCGUUUGCUUUCUGCUUCUUGGGCUGAAUCUUGGUGAUUUUGGAAGCCCAGCAGGCAGCAAAACCAGGAGUUGGGAUACCAGGGGCAGUGUGAAUAUGGAAGAACCACCUGAUAGCUAGCACCAAGCUGCCCACGUCCUCCUGUAGGCACCUCCCCACCAGUCCUGCUGAGGACAGGCAGCAGGUAUUUCUGUUCAGAGAGCUCUGUUGGAGAAAGCCUCCUGUGAAAGCCAACUUGGCAGGGGAAACUGGGGGCUUCGUUUGGCUUCACAGAUUGCUUCUUUCUCCUUCCCCAUUCAUGUGGAUGCCACACACACUGACAGCCCUCUCUCCCCUCUGCUUGGUGUCCCUCCUGCAUGUCCCCAUCAUGUUGCUGGGGCAGUUCCAGACAUGCAGCCUGCACAGGUUCUUGUUGAAUGCAAUGUGCUCUGCCACGCUUUGUCCUCCUUCCAAGGAAGCCAUGGCACAGCAUCCCUUGGCCAAGUUCUCCCACCCUGGCAUGGGGACUGCUGUAGCAGGAAGGAGGAGCAGAUCCAGCCUGAGAGGGCAGCAAGGCUGGAAUAUCGGCCAAGGAGAACCACCUGCAUCUUCCACCCAGCAGAGAGUGGCCAUGUGCAGGGAGAAUUCAAGGUCACAGCCAACCCAGCUCUCUGCUUUGCUAACUGUGGAGUUCCCUUCAUUCAUUAGCAACGGCAUUAUUAGCAGUGUCCCUCAGAGUACUGUUGGAUGCUGGAAUCUCUUCCUGCCCUGUAGAAAGGCCGCUGGCUUUAUUCAUAGACGAUGGCUGACAUUCCCCAUGCCUCCUGCUCAGGGAACAGAGCAGGACCUGGGCUCUGGGAGCCACUAGAUGUCAGGGUUACUCCGCCACAGCCACACUGCCUGCCAGAUGUGGCACAGCUGGCCCUGCGUGGGGUGAGAGGGGACCCCCAGGGUGCUGGAAGGCAUACAGGGAACAGGGGAAAGUCCAGAGAAAAGUAGGAUGAAGAACCUGUCCCCAUGCAGGACAGCAUGGAGCACUCCAUCCCUCCCUCUCUCCUGGAAACAACAGGCACAUCUGGUGUAUCCAAUGAACAAACCAGAUGUGCUGGAGGAGCCACACCUCAAAUGGUCAGAAGCUGGUUUCCCAGUCAGGGAAGUGCACUUAUAGCCAGGGUGGGUUUGGAUUAGCAGAUGGCCAUACAUCAAACCAUCACCUCAAUCCCCAUCUCGCCAUUGCUGGGACUGUGGGUACCGUGAGCCCACCCUGCUCCUUGGCUGGGAAAACUCAGCACCACUCAACCCCCUCUUCCCUGCUUAAUUUCGUCAACACCAAAACCUGCUGUUUUGAGGGGGAAAAACAGUCAGAAAACGCUCAGAUUUUACAAAGACCUCAUUUUUUUCUUGUACUUAAAAGCAGUGUAAAACGUGGCAUUUAGGUGAAACUGCACCAUUUUCUGAAAAGUACCAGUUGUUUUAUUAGAUUUAUUCUAAUAGUGCAAGCUGAGUUCAUCUCAUAAAUAAGGAUUAUAAAAAGCUCAUUUGAAUGUAUUAGAAACUAAAGGAACUUACUUUAUUAUAAGCAGGAGAAAUGCAGCAAUGUCAGCAUGAACAGAAGAGCUUCUCUUUCCUUGGAGAAAGCUAUUGCCCAGGCUGGAGUUAAACAGCAGACAUGGGAGUAUCUGGGUGGUGGCAGGUCAGCUGCUUUAUGGCUUUUAUUAUCCAGCAUUGGCAUCCAGAUACUUUAGGAAAUGGUCUCAGACCCUCAGUGUAUGUAUAUUUUCCUGCCCCACUUAGAGACUCAUGCUGGCCUCUGGAAGAGAUAUGCAGCUUCAUAUCACUCACAAAACCUUUUCAGGCAUCGUUAUGGCAAUGGUGGGCUUCUGACUACUCACUUAAUGCCUGAGCUUUCUUCAGUCUUGCAAUGUUCUUGGGUUGAAAGACUUUCUGUGGUGACAAAUCCCACAAACUAAUUACGCGGGGGAUGAAAAUUUAUUUUCCCUUUAUCAGUUUGAAUUUUCCACCUUUAUGGGAAAAUGGGUUAUUUAUUAGGAAAAGACAUCUCCAUGGCAUUUUGCAGUUACAGCCUCUCAGAUCACCUUUUCACUGGAAGAAUCAACAAUUAAAGUUGGCUCUGAGUUACAUCACUACUUAGUCAUGAUAGAUAUGCAAUUUCAUAGUUUUCAUUAUAGAAAAUAGGCACCAAAGUACAUCAAUAAACUACAUAAUGUGAAGGAAUACUGAUAAAAGCAUGCUAUUAGAUUCAUUAGUGCUAAUCAGAAAGAAAGCAUCUAUAGUUACUCAAUGAUAAUAUUCUGUAAGAAAAAAUGGUUUUCUAGUGUGACUGAUUUUCAGUGAUGUGGGAUGGCUGAGAAGGGAGUCUAAAAGCAAAUGUCAAACCUGCCUCACUCACAGAGCACUGCUGCUAAAGCAAGGAGAAAACCCUGAGAUGAGAUCAUAUGAUUAGCAUUUUUAUUGUAGAUGAGGUCAAGAGAGAGUAGAGUGGCAGCAGAUGAGGAGUAAGGAAUGGAGAAGAUGGUGAAGGCCUGGAUGAACAUUUAUGGAUAAGACAAGAAGGUUUCUUUGGAUGGGCUCCAAUUCAACAGUUUGUUGCCAUUUUAGAUUGAGGUACAGCUAAUGAAUUGGUCAUGGAAAAUGGCCGUGUUGUCUAACCAUGUGAAACUGGAGGGGAGAAAAGUUAAUGUAGAUCUCCCUCGCGUUCACCAUGGUAAAUCUAGGGAAACCUAAGAAACCAGCAAGCAACUUGCUGGGAAAAUUGGGGACCUCAAAGUUAGGAGGCAGUCUGGAAGCUGUCUGACAAGUAACGGGGAAAAUAUAUCUGCAAAAAAGCCUGGAUAUGACAGGAUGAGUAACCACCUCUAAAAAUAUAUGAGCAGUAAGCUGAGAACCCACAGAAGGGAUAGGAAAAUGACUGCUCAUCACAGAGAGGUGUGACACAGGACAGGGAAUGUACAGAGAAAAUGAAAAUUGAGAAGUUCAAACUGAACUGGAACUUGGAAAUUAUAUUAAAACCUCUAACAGGAGUCUGUCUCUAGAGCCUCAGUUCCUCUUUGUUCUUACCAUGUGUAGCUAGGGAUUGUAGUAAAUCUAAGUAGGACCAAAUAGAAAAUGAAUGUGUUUCUAGGGAUUACGUUGAAGAGUGAAAUGAAGGCAAAGUGGGUCUGCAGGGCCAGAAAUAAGCUGGAAGCAGAUUGAAAACCUCUGUGCAACCAGAUUGGUGGGAUGAGGUGGGAGACACCUGAACUCCAAGGCCCUUCCUGUGCUGCUGGAGGUCUCCCAGCAAGGUCUGGAUGUCCAUCUUGUUGGGGCAUCAUCCAAGCAGAUGCAAAGGCAGUGUCAGUGUGUUUGAAAGAGCAAAGCAGUGAUUGGAACAACUUCAGGCACAGCAGUGUGAGUGAAGUCCUAUGCACAGUUGUAGAGCAGGAGGGAAAAAAUGAUGAUUUGGAAGAACAUGGAAAACUGAGGAUGAGCAGAACAUAGAAAGCCUCCUUAUCAACUUUGCCUAAAGCUGAGCACUGGUGGUACCACACGGCAUUUUCUGGUGGUGAAGGAGUCCUGCAAAUCUGAUAAUAUGACAGCAGUGACUGUCCUCUGCUCCAAGCACUCUUCCCACCUCUUUGCUUUCAACAAAAGCCUGAUGUGCAGUGAGCCACGAGAUGUGCAUCUGGAAAUGAAAGCAAGGCUUGUUUAUACUUUCUCACAAACUCACCAGGGUCCCUCCCUCUGGCUGCUGACCCUUGGCAUGUGGCUGUGCCAUUCCAUUUCCCCGUGACACACACCACAGUCGGGCAUCACCUCGCUCCAUGGGUACCAGUGUCAGCUGGCACCACGGUGAGUUCAGCUCGAAGCCUGUUGGCCUAAUUGCAGCGGGGAGGACAGAUGUUGGCAGAGGCAUCUGAUUGAAAAGCAUACAGAAUUUAGCCAGACUGCAGGAUUUCUCUGUGGUAUGGACAAAUAUUGACUGGGGCUCCUUCCAACAGCCUCCUCUCUUAAUAGAUGCUCUAACAUCGAACACGAGCACUGACAAACUGGUGCAAUUACUCACCACGUUACUAAUCACACCAUUUCCCUCCCCUCGUUAUUGAUUUUGGAAGCAUUGUUUGAAAA